GGCCGAGCGGUUGAAGGCACCGGUCUUGAAAACCGGCGACCCGAAAGGGUUCCAGAGUUCGAAUCUCUGC
rnacentral:tRNA from 1 species